rnacentral:lncRNA from 1 species
UUCCCACUGCUCUCUACUUACUGUGGCUCUCCCAUGAAAUUCUGUAGAUCUACUCAAAGGUUCUCAUCAGUCAUUCAACUUGCCUUCUUUAGGUAGGGAUUCUAUGGGCUGCCUUUUAAAUGCAUUAUUUAUUUUCCCUAGUUUAGCUUUUGUCACACUUAAAAGAUACCUGAUUUCCUCCUUGUUUUCCCAGUCAAAUUUCAGUUUCUGUGGGUACAUGAGAAGGUUAGGAGCCCAUGGGCCAGGUCUGCCCAUGUGCAGAGCAGAGAGCACCUAGCUGGUCCUACACAGUGCUCAUCACCAAAGCACGACGGCUCCUGGUACCCCAACAGUAGCAUCUCCGUUCUGUUCCCCAUGGAUGAAGAGCCUCCAACCCUCCCACCUGGUUGGAGAAUUCUGGAACCUUCAUGAUGCCCUCCUGCCUCAGAACCUGAAGUUUCCCAAGCUCUGCCUCUCCUCCUGCACCAUGUACUGAACAUCAAGCAGCACCCCUAUCCCUGCUUACUACUGUGAUCAUCAUCUGAGGAUAUUAUUGGCCACCUGCUUUUCUCUUCCAGGAAUCCUGAAGUAAGGAGAAGUUCCCUUGUUUUCAGUAAAUUAAAAAUACUUCGUGGUUUGAGGAUAAGGAGGGGCAGGUAUUUGUUUCUUGAGAAUGAAGAGCUUGAAGGAAUUGCACCUAUUUUGCUGUAAGAGUGUGCUUGCUGGCAGGACGUUAAGGAAGCAGAUGGAAGCACAGGCUCAGGCUGGCCCACCAAGGAUUUCUCCUAUGGGGUGAGGAUCAGGCAGCAUUCCUCUAUUCUUCUGACAUCCAAACUUUCUUUCUAUAAUUUUAUCUACACUCUGAACCGUUAGACAGUGAUGGAGGAGGAGAAAGACAACAGAGAGAGGGGUGGGGAGAGGAGUGUGGUUGGGGCAUAGAAAACAUCAAUAAAAUAUUAGCAAAAAUAUCCUUACCCCGUAAAAGAAUCUUUAUGAAAGAAUGCCAGCUCACCUCCUUGAAGAAACUUCAUGGGGUAAACGAUGGCAUGGUAUCUGUCUAUGCUGAGGGACACCAGGACGUAGGUAGAGGCAUACAGCAGGACAACCUAAGGACGGGAACCAGAGGACAUGUGUGACUUCACAUAGGAGAGGAAAUGCACAUAGUAUGUAAUAUUCUUGGUACUUACAAACCAGGGGAUUGAAUCAAGAUAUCAGUGAGGUGAGAAUUGAGGUAGAGAGGUACUGGCCCUCCCUGCUGGAAGCAGAUCUGGGCUUUGCCGCAGGACUCUGCGUUGCUACUGGCAAUAGGGUUAGAAUGGCCACAGCUUUCUCUGUAUGUUCUACUCUCUUCUUGGCCUUCCCAUAUUUCAAGCUCAGUCUCUCUUGAGAGUUGCAUGAUACAUUUAUCUGGAAUUGACUUUUAAAGCUAAAAUAAUUUUCUCUGCCACAAUUGACAUUCCAGAAUAGUUCAGAAACAAAAGUUCCUUUGCCUUUUAUCAGAAAGAGUAGUUGAAGGUUAAAGGAAGGGUUCCGGUUUCCCUGCGUUCACAGAGAGCCCCGCCCCCUACCCACACUGCCUUCCUCCCAGUCUCUGUCAGAGCUGGAUGUAGCCUAAGCUUCUGAGCUUUUCUCUUCUGACUCUCCUCUAGGUAACUUCAUCCACAGCUUUUCAAUAGUGUGGGCAUAGACUUAGUUGCAUUCUCGGUAGAGGAGGAAAUUGGGACAUAACAUCUCUUCUGUGAAGCAGUCCUAUGUGGAAUCUAGUUAGCUGAGAUAUGUCAGAAAGUAUGAUCUCAUUGGAAAAUUUCGGAGUAACCAGAAGGCAAUUUCUACAAGCCAAUAAGAUAUCUCUUUCUGUGAUAAAAUCUAUACGCCAUAGAAAAUGGUAGUGUAUGGCUGAGAGUCUGACUUUUUCUUUGGUGAUCACAUUAGUUUGGAAUCUGUUCCUUUGUCAUACUUUCUGCAGUUUGGACAAAUAUCAGCCCACUAUAGUUGCCCUUCAAUUUAGGAUAAAGCUAUCAUUACUUGAAAUGUUGUCAUUUGAUAAUGCAUUUAGUGCCAAUUGUUUGAAUAUUGUAGAUUAUCUUAUUUUAUAUAUACUGAGAACCCUAUACUAACUUCCAGUUAGGCAAAAAUCAUCCAGUGCACAGCCUAUCUCAUACUGCAGCGUUGGCUAACUCAUGUGCUACAAGGGCCCUGGUGUUGAACAUAAAAACCAUGACUCCAAGGUUAUACCAUCAUACAGUCUAAACAGUCACGUGACCAGGUCAUCAGAAAUCGGGGACCAUAUGCCCCCAUUUUUUUUUGUCUUUAUAACACAGCCGCACAUGCUUCCCAGCAUUAAUCUUGUUGGAAGAGGAUAGUAAAGAGUGAUCCGAGACUGAUGCCAUCUACCCCUUCACACACACACACCUGAGGGACAUAAAAAGAAAUUCUUUGUGCAAAGAGUAACCAAGGUAGAAACAGAAAGAGAGUAGUAGGUUUAAAGAAAAGUCAAGCUAUUACCUCCUUAGAGACAACUGAGAUUUCUCUGUGUGAACCAUGGCUGAGGCUGCCCUCACAAUGGCAAGAAGCUGGCAUGAGAAAGAUGAGAAAGAGUGAGUGAUCUGGAAAGAAGGACGUGCUGGGCAGUUCUGAAUCUUAGACAUCUCUUCUGUAUUGAGUCAGUUCAGAAUCUGGGACAGGAGAAGAGGCACCAAAACAGAUUUUCCAGGCUGCAAGCAAUAUUAACCAAAAAGAGACAGAUGUGGAGACACAGCCGAAAAGAAUAUUUAACUUCUGAGAUGAAACAUCUAGGUGCAGUAAAAUAAAAUAAAGAUAUCUAAAAGAAAUACGUCUCAAAUUGCCAGGCUUCUCCAUAAAAAAGUAAAUGCCAGAGAACGCGUUCAGAGUUUUGAAAGAAAAAUUGUGAUCCAAGAAUUUUGUAAAUUUCAUUUCUGUGCCAAUGCACAGAACAGCUUUUUUUUUGGAUAUGUAUGAAGGAAGGAAAU